GGACUCGUAACUCAGCUUGGAUAGAGUGCUAGCCUUCUAAGCUAGAAGUCGAGGGUUCAAAUCCCUCCGAGUCCG
rnacentral:tRNA from 1 species